AGCCUGCACCUCCUGGGCUCAAACAAUGCUGCCACUCAGCCUGCCCAGUAGCUGGCACCACAGGCACAUGCCACCAUGUGCCUGCAUGUUAAUUCAUGUACUUCCUCUUUCCCAAGUUCUCUAGUUUAUAGCAUGUCCUUUCCUGAGGAACAUAAAUCACAUGUUAUUGUCUGCCUUUCAUCCUGAGAGGAAGGAGAUAAUCACAUGGCCAUUUUAUGCUUGAAGGAUUUGGUGAUCACUGGGUCCAAUGAAGAGCCUCAGGAUGAGUCAGUGUGGUUUUACCCAGGCAUGGAGAAAUUAACUUCUUGAUGAUGAUCAAGUCUUCUUAUUAAAUAGGAGUGCAACUGAUAGAGGAUCUUCUUACAUUUGCUUUAUUUCAUGGUGCUGCCCAAAUUCAUGCUGUACCCUCAGCAGCAAGGAGUGGGACCAUUACUCCUGGCGUUCCCAGAUGGAACAGACACCAAGCCUGGCUUUGCCACUGAACACAAUACAGGACUGAUAAAGGAAAUAGAGGCUGCCCAUCUCUCAGUGCCACAUAUGAGAAAGGGAAGUUGUCAUUUUAUAUAUCCACUGUCAAGCAUCUUGGUAAAACAGAAGAAAGCAGGCUGGGCCUGGUGGCUCAUGCCUAUAAUCCCAGCACUUUGGGAGGCCAAGGAGGGCAGAUAGCUUGACCAGCAUGGGCAACAUGGCAAAAUCCUGUCUCUACAAAAAAAUAAAAAAAAACAAAAAAUAAAUGUAGUCCCAGGUACUGAGGAAGCUGAGGCAGGAGGAACACUUGAGCCUGGGAGGUAAAGGCUUCAGUGAGCCGUGAUAAUGCCACUGCACUCCAGCCUAGACAACAGAGUGAGACCCUGUCUCAAGAAAAAGAAAAACAAGAGGGAGGCAAUCUACUUUAUACCCAGAGAAUUUUACAUGCAAGGAAUUUGACUAUGAAUAAGCCUCCAUUGCUUAAGAGAGACUUCACUAUUUGGGAUUUUAAGAAAGAAAUACACAAACAAGCAAAUCUCAUCAGCAGAGGACUGAGAAACCAGUGUUUAUAAUACCCAGUGAUUAAUGUAAUAUUGUCUUCAGUCAUCAUUAAAAGGGACUUAGUUUAAAAGUCAUUUCGAUUGAUCGCCAACUCAGAGUCCUCAACAUUUCACCUUUUGCUUUAUGAAAAGAACUAGUAGAUUAAUUUAGAGUUUGACAAGGAGAAGCAGGUCUCCCUUGAUUUUCUGUUUGGCCAAGAAUUUAUCCUAACAUGGUACCAUCAGAAUACUGUCAGAAAGCUGUGAGUCAACUCAGAUUUCUCACCAUUGAGUCAAGCCGUGAAGCCAGCUGUCUUGGGGGUAAGGAUUUCCAUACAGAAACACUGUAAGUAAAUAAUUUAGCACUUGUUUCCUAUUCCUUUUUAUUGGAUAACUACAGAGAAUUAAAACUGUGGGUUGUUUUGAAUUCACAAAAGAAAUGUUUUAAAGCUUUCGAGGAAAAAGCCAGAUUAUCCAUUGCAAAGCAUCGAAAUUCAAAAUCAUGUUAAGGCUAUAGAGAAAUAGGAUCCUAUCCCCACCUAGUGGCCAACACUGAAAUCUGGGCUUAGAACAGGAAACAAGGGAAUUUGUCAACAAUUUGGGAAUACUCCAGCAUUCUUUACAAAAAAAAGUUAGAGAAAAAGUUAAGCACACAAAAAACACAAGUCAAAAUAAAUACGACCAAAUACAUAGGUUUUGGCAGCACAUAGAUUUCUGUGGUUUUGCUAUGCUUUUAGCAGCGGCUGUAAAAAGCAUUGCACACUAAGCAUUGCUAGAUUGCCAAACAAACCUAAUUACAUUUUUUGUUUGGUUUUUUGUUUUUUUCAAAACCUCCUAACCUCUGUGACCUAAUUAUGUUUUUAAUGAGUUGAUUGUAAAAACUAACAUCAGCGAAUACAAAAUUUCAGUUAGACAGGAGGAAUAAAUUCAAGAUAUGUACUGUACAACAUGGUGACUCUAGUUAAUAACAAUGUACUGUGUACUUGAAUAUUGCUAAGUGAAUAAUUUUAAGUGUUCUCACCCAACACAAAAAAUAUGUAAGGUAAUGCACAUAUUAAUUAGCUUGAUUUAGCCAUUAAACAAUGUGUGUGUGU
rnacentral:lncRNA from 1 species